rnacentral:rRNA from 1 species
GAAUAUUGGACAAUGGGCGCAAGCCUGAUCCAGCCAUGCCGCGUGCAGGAUGACGGUCCUAUGGAUUGUAAACUGCUUUUGUACAGGAAGAAACCCUUUCACGUGUGGAAGAUUGACGGUACUGUAAGACUAAGGAUCGGCUAACUCCGUGCCAGCAGCCGCGGUAAUACGGAGGAUCCAAGCGUUAUCCGGAAUCAUUGGGUUUAAAGGGUCCGUAGGCGGUCUGGUAAGACAGUGGUGAAAGCCCAUCGCUCAACGGUGGAACGGCCAUUGAUACUGCCAGACUUGAAUUUCCAGGAAGCAACUAGAAUAUGUAGUGUAGCGGUGAAAUGCUUAGAUAUUACGUGGAAUACCAAUUGCGAAGGCAGGUUGCUACUGGUGGAUUGACGCUGAUGGACGAAAGCGUGGGUAGCGAACAGG